ACCGCUUAGUGGAGCUUUACAAUGCUGCCGUAGCGGGCAUAGGCGAGGUCUGAUUGAGGCCACGCAAGGCAAGUGAAUCAAGCGGUGGUGAUUCUUAACAAAGAAUCACUUGCACCGAUUGAGGCCGCCAAGGGUUAGCUUCAUUUUAACUUCAGCUCUGUCACCGUCAUGGUGUACAAAUCGGAUGCGACGGCCAGAGGGGACUCUGCCGACAAGCCAGUCGAGCAGGAUCCCUUACGCGGAGAUCGAAAUACCCGACGACGGUCAUGUGCCGCGGACUAGACGAGUUUUCGCUAUCUAGCGAAGAUUAACGAAGACUGUAAAGCAGCGUCGGCCGCCCUUAUGCUCCGCCUGGCUGUCGGCGGAGAAGAUGUAGUCCUAAUCCAAGAACCCUGGGUGGUUUGAAACAAAGUUUCACAGUUAGGUAGCGACAACUAUCAGCUCAUUGUAGCUCUAUCUGAAGGUUAAAUACGAACCUGCAUUCUGGCGAAAAAAACAUCUUAGUAUUUUUCUGCUUCAUUUUAGCAACAGAGACAACACAGCAUGAAACCUGGAGCUCCAGCUAGCUCCGAUUCGACUACUAUCAACAUAUAUGGCCCAUGAUUGCACGGGACCAGCAACGGAUGAGAAGCAGAAAAUUAGCCUCAUCAUAAGCUGCGGUUCCAUUGCUCACCACUUCCAGUGGAGUAGCGCGGAUACGAACUUGAGGGGGUCGUGAAGUCCACACAUGGAUCGUGAACACUCACCAGAGGCAAUAACUGGAGCUCUGCUGGACAUGGGAAUUGACUCAAGACUAGUGGGACGGCUGCCAGAUUGUUGCAUAUGCGGAUGAUGUCGCGGUCAUCUUCAAAGGAAAGUACCCUCAAACUCUAUGUGACCUUAUGACAAGUAAACUAAAAAUCAUGGACGAUAGAAUGCGGACUGGGUGUAAAUCCCACUAAAACUUUAUUCAUUAAACUCCGCCCAAUAUUAUACCACACUCGGUCUCUCUUGGAAUGCGAUGUUGAAAUCAACUAAUAUAGAACUGAAGUU